AUGCAUGCCGUCCUAUCAUCUUUCAUUAUCAAAGCAGUCUCUUCUUUUUUGACAGUUUGAAGAAGCAUCUGUAGGGAAUCCAGAAGGAGCCUUCGUAAAGGUGUUACAAGUCUGGAAGAAGCACAGGAGCACUGAGCUGACUACUGAGCUGGAGGCACCCUCAGACAGCAAUGGCAUCAACUUGUCAGGCUUUGGGAGUGAGCAGCUAGACUCAGUGACGAGAGCUUGCCUCAUUUCUCAGUGAAAAAUCUGUAAGAUGUGGAAUCAGUCCUUCUAGAAAUUAGAAACUGCCCAACCACGGGAAAACAGCCUGGCAAAGAUUCCAAAUGUUGGCAAAAGCCUGCGGGGAGUGAACAGAGUCCUCAUGGGCCUAAGGAGCAUCCAGAAAAGGCACUUCAAAGAGGUGGGAAAGCAGAGCAUAAGGAGGGAACGGGGUGCCCGGGCAUUCGUGGAGAAUGCUGCCAAAGAAAAAUGGCUCAGGAGUCCAGCCCCAAGGGAGCUGGAACAGCCUCACGAAGAGCAGGGGCCCAAGAAGUCAGCAGGAAACGCUGUCUACACCAAGCCUCCGUUCACACUGGAGCAUAAGGCGGCAGUCUUCUCUUUGCUGAAACCCUUCUCCAUGGGCGUGCCUUCUGCCUCUAUCCCCGCAAAAGCCCGAACUGAGGUCAGAAACAGAUUGAAAGACUUAACUUAUGCCAUUUUGGUUUUAGAAGAUGCAAAGGCUAGAGUUAAAACCAAUCGUACAUUCCAGAAAAAAAUACCGCUUUCUUAAAAGUUGCUCCCAUGUGGUCCACAGAACACCCAAGGCCAAAAAGAGUCAAAAGUUCAGAAAGAAAAGUUUUCUCAAUAGACUGAUGCUCACAAAGAGGCCUCCAUUCUCUGCAGCAAAGAGCCUCAUAAAUUCCCCUUCACAAGGGGCUUUUCUGUCUUUAUGAGGCCUGAGUCCUCAGGAAAAUCCUUUUCCAGUAGUAUUUGCUCCUUCAGAACGUUUUAUAGAGAACACUAAUGUAAAAAACACCACAGCAAGAAAUGCAUUUGAAGAAAACAUUUUUAUGGAAAACACUACUAUGCUAGAAGGCACCAUCUCUGAAAACACAACCUACAGUCAUCCUCCUGAGGCAGAUUCCACUGGGACUAUGUUCAACUUAGAGACGACUGUUAAACACACCAAUGAAACACGAUGGGAAUACAACAAUGUGGGCACUGGCUUGUCCUCCAAGCCCAAAAUCUUCUACUACUCAUUGCCCUUGUCUCUAGGUGACCAGUUUGAAAUUCAGCUAAAUCAGCAGCUAUGGUCCCUCAUCCUCAACAACGAUGUGAGAAGGCUCAUUUCUCAUGUUAUCCAAACCUUGAAAAUGGACUGCUCUGAGACCCACGUGCAAUUGGCCUGUGCCAAGCUCAUCUCCAGAACAGGCCUCCUGAUGAAGCUUCUCAGUGAGCAGCAAGAACUGAGAACUAUAUUAACGAGAGCACAGAAGCACAGAGUGAACAGAAAGAGCAGGAUUUAAACUUCACUAAAGAAGUUCCAGGAUAUAACAAACUCAUCUUAGCAAUAUCUGUGACUGUAAUACUAACGAUUUUGAUUAUAAUUCACUGUCUCAUUGAGGUAAGGACAAUAAUUAAUUCAGGUUUUCAGAAUGCAGUCCUGUCUUUGUGUGGAGUCAGAGCCCACAAACUCAAAACCAAAGCCACUUUCUCACCUGCUGCUACUUGACACUCUUCUUCAGUCCUUUAAGGCUGAGGUAUGCUUC